UCUGCUAUGAUUGGAGCCGUGGGGCAGAAAACCACAAUCCUGCAGCUGCGAAGACAUCCAUCUACCUCCACAGUCCACAGGAAUCUGAGGUCAAAGGAAAGCCGAGGAUUGCAACAGGCAGGAAGUGAUUACAUUCCAACUUGCGGGAUCUGUUCGUCUUUAGGCCAGUCACCAGUUUUGUUAUGCCCCCCUCCUGCAUUGGAAGUCUGGGUAGAUGUAAAUUUCAGCGUUCCUGUAGCAUCUAGGCACUGAAUAUAGGGUUUCUGUUGCAAGAUUAACAUGUAGUAAUACCUGAUGUUUGCAAUGUCCUAGCCCUCUUAAGGAAUUGUGUAUCGAGGUGGUCUUCUGUGAUGUAAAUUUCCGUGCAUAUGGGUCGAUAUCGAUGAUUUGUCAGUAUCGUUUA